UACGGAGGGGGCCAGCGUUGCUCGGAAUUAUUGGGCGUAAAGCGCGUGUAGGCGGUUUCUUAAGUCUGAUGUGAAAGCCCUGGGCUCAACCCAGGAAGUGCAUUGGAUACUGGGAGACUUGAAUACGGGAGAGGGUAGUGGAAUUCCUAGUGUAGGAGUGAAAUCCGUAGAUAUUAGGAGGAACACCGGUGGCGAAGGCAGCUACCUGGACCGAUAUUGACGCUGAGACGCGAAAGCGUGGGGAGCAAACAGG
rnacentral:rRNA from 1 species